rnacentral:lncRNA from 1 species
AGAGUUUCCACCAUUUUUCACCGAUUGUUUUCAAAUUUCUACCGAUUGAAAUACUUCCUAACGAUCAUACUACCUUUCCCACUGAUUAAACUUCGAUUCUCACCGUUUAAUCGGUCUGUUUCGAGUCUCCUUAUCAUUUUAGGGUUCUCGAAGUCCGAUUAGGAUUUUCAACCUAUUCUCUUCGAUUUCUAUUUCGAUCUGGAGUGUUCU